rnacentral:lncRNA from 1 species
CCCUGCUCCCCAGACGUCCAGGACAACAACAGAACCAGCCUGACAGACAUCGGCAUUCAAUUAAGCAAAAAUAAUCAACAAAGUCGUUCAUUUAAUUUAAUGUUACGUUUCUACCACAAUUUUGGCACAGAUUUAAUAAAAUCACAGAAUUCAAGGCAAAGACUGCAAUUAAGACUUAAAUUACAUUUGGGUUAAAUAUCACAUCUUGUACAUCUUUUACAUACUCAUGUAAAAAUUAUAUGUUGCACAGCUGCUCACGUAAGCUGAAGUGUAGGGCACUGUACUGGAAGCUGUAGUCUAGGGCUCUGUACUGUAAGAUGUAGUCUAGGGCUCUGUACUGUAAGAUGUAGUCUAGGGCUCUGUACUGUAAGCUGUAGUGUUGGGCUCUGUACUGUAAGAUGUAGUGUAGGGCUCUGUACUGUAAGAUGUAGUCUAGGGCUCUGUACUGGAAGCUGUAGUGUAGGGCUCUGUACUGGAAGCUGUAGUCUAGGGCUCUGUACUGUAAGAUGUAGUGUAGGGCUCUGUACUGUAAGAUGUAGUCUAGGGCUCUGUACUGUAAGAUGUAGUCUAGGGCUCUGUACUGGAAGCUGUAAUGUAGGGCUCUGUACUGGAAGCUGUAGUCUAGGGCUCUGUACUGAAAGAUGUAGUGUAGGGCUCUGUACUGGAAGCUGUAGUGUACGGCUCUGUACUGUAAGAUGUAGUCUAGGGCUCUGUAGUGUAGGGCUCUGUACUGGAAGCUGUAGUCGUUGGCUCUAUACUGUAAGAUCUAGUCUAGGGCUCUGAACUAUAAGAUGUCGUGUAGGGCUCUGUACUGUAAGAUGUAGUGUAGGGCUCUGUACUGUAAGAUGUAGUCUAGGGCUCUGUACUGGAAGAUGUAGUGUAGGGCUCUGUACUGUUAGAUGUAGUCUAGGGCUCUGUACUGGAAGAUGUAGUCUAGGGCUCUGUACUGUUAGAUGUAGUGUAGGGCUCUGUACUGGAAGCUGUAGUGUAGGGCUCUGUACUGGAAGCUGUAGUGUAGGGCUCUGUACUGUAAGAUGUAGUGUAGGGCUAUGUAUUGUAAGAUAUAGUCUAGGGCUCUGUACUGUUAGAUGUAGUCUAGGGCUCUGUACUGUAAGAUGUAGUGUAGGGCUCUGUACUGUUAGAUGUAGUCUAGGGCUCUGUACUGUAAGAUGUAGUGUAGGGCUCUGUACUGUAAGAUUUAGUCUAGGGCUCUGUACUGUUAGAUGUAGUCUAGGGCUCUGUACUGGAAGCUGUAGUGUAGGGCUCUGUACUGGAAGCUGUAGUGUAGGGCUCUGUACUGUAAGAUGUAAUGUAGGGCUCUGUACUGUAAGAUGUAGUGUAGGGCUCUGUACUGGAAGCUGUAGUGUAGGGCUCUGUGCUGUAAGAUGCAGUCUAGGGCUCUGUAGUGUAGGGCUCUGUACUGGAAGCUGUAGUCGUUGGCUCUGUACUGUAAGAUGUAGUCUAGGGCUCUGUACUGUAAGAUGUAGUGUAGGGCUCAGUACUGUAAGAUGUAGUGUAGGGCUCUGUACUGUACGAUGUAGUGUAGGGCUCUGUACUGUAAGAUGUAGUCUAGGGCUCUGUAC